rnacentral:ncRNA from 1 species
CAACGUUUUGGUCCUAAACUCCCCGUUAUCAAUUACCGUCAUUACACAUGCCAGUAUCCGCAUACCGGUGCUUAUGCCCCCCCCCUACCAACCCAGACAAGGAGCAGGUAUCAGGCACACUAACCACGUAGCCCAAAACACCUAGAGAUUACCACACCCCCACGGAACCCAGCAGUGAUCAACAUUAGGCCAUAAGCCAAAGCUUGACCUAGACACAGUUAAUAUUAGGGCCGGUAAACCCCGUGCCAGCCACCGCGGUUAUACGGAGGGCCCAAGAUAACGUAUACCCGGCGUAAAAUGUGGCUAGAGCCUAGCUCCCCGUAAGAAACUCGAACUAUAGUAUAGUUGUAGAAUACUCAUACAAAUAGGACCCCUUGAUAAGUUUCUCCUUAAAACCAACUUGACCCCACGAAAACUAAGACACAAACUAGGAUUAGAUACCCUACUAUGCUUAGCCAUAAACCUAGACAGGUCCUCCACACCCCUGCCCGCCCGAGAAUUACAAGCGAAAAGCUUGAAACUCAAAGGACUUGACGGUACUCCACACCGGCCUAGAGGAGCCUGUCCUAUAAUCGAUACUCCACGAUACACCUCACCCCACCUUGAAAUCAGCCUAUAUACCGCCGUCGCCAGCUCGCCUAAUGAUAGAAAAACAGCAAGCAAAAUAGUACUAACAGCACUAAAACGUCAGGUCAAGGUGUAGCAAAUGGUGGGGCAGAGAUGGGCUACAUUUUCUUGUAUAGGUAACCCUAAACCCACAAGCAACAUGAAACACGCGGCCCAAAGACGGAUUUAGUAGUAAACAUGGACAAGCCUACCCCAAUUGAAACCCGCCCUGGAGUGCGUACACACCGCCCGUCACCCUCCUCAACAAACCAAAUAAAGAUAAAUAAACACACCCUACACUAUAGAUGAGGUAAGUCGUAACAAGGUAAGCGUACUGGAAAGUGCGCUUGGAACA